rnacentral:rRNA from 1 species
UACGUAGGGUGCAAGCGUUAAUCGGAAUUACUGGGCGUAAAGCGUGCGCAGGCGGUUUUGUAAGUCUGAUGUGAAAUCCCCGGGCUCAACCUGGGAAUUGCAUUGGAGACUGCAAGGCUAGAAUCUGGCAGAGGGGGGUAGAAUUCCACGUGUAGCAGUGAAAUGCGUAGAGAUGUCGAGGAACACCGAUGGCGAAGGCAGCCCCCUGGGUCAAGAUUGACGCUCAUGCACGAAAGCGUGGGGAGCAAACAGG